UACGGAAGGGGGCUAGCGUUGCUCGGAAUCACUGGGCGUAAAGCGCACGUAGGCGGAUUGCUAAGUCAGGGGUGAAAUCCUGGAGCUCAACUCCAGAACUGCCUUUGAUACUGGCGAUCUUGAGUCCGGGAGAGGUGAGUGGAACUGCGAGUGUAGAGGUGAAAUUCGUAGAUAUUCGCAAGAACACCAGUGGCGAAGGCGGCUCACUGGCCCGGUACUGACGCUGGAGGUGCGAAAGCGUGGGGAGCAAACAGG
rnacentral:rRNA from 1 species